rnacentral:rRNA from 1 species
GAUGAACGCUGGCGGCGUGCCUAAUACAUGCAAGUCGAGCGAACAGACGAGGAGCUUGCUCCUCUGACGUUAGCGGCGGACGGGUGAGUAACACGUGGAUAACCUACCUAUAAGACUGGGAUAGCUUCGGGAAACCGGAGCUAAUACCGGAUAAUAUAUUGAACCGCAUGGUUCAAUAGUGAAAGACGGUUUUGCUGUCACUUAUAGAUGGAUCCGCGCCGCAUUAGCUAGUUGGUAAGGUAACGGCUUACCAAGGCAACGAUGCGUAGCCGACCUGAGAGGGUGAUCGGCCACACUGGAACUGAGACACGGUCCAGACUCCUACGGGAGGCAGCAGUAGGGAAUCUUCCGCAAUGGGCGAAAGCCUGACGGAGCAACGCCGCGUGAGUGAUGAAGGUCUUCGGAUCGUAAAACUCUGUUAUUAGGGAAGAACAAAUGUGCAAGUAACUAUGCACGUCUUGACGGUACCUAAUCAGAAAGCCACGGCUAACUACGUG